rnacentral:rRNA from 1 species
GUAUAAGAGACAGCAGCAGCCGCGGGAAUACAGAGGGUGCGAGCGUUAAUCGGAUUUACUGGGCGUAAAGCGUGCGUAGGCGGCUUUUUAAGUCGGAUGUGAAAUCCCUGAGCUUAACUUAGGAAUUGCAUUCGAUACUGGGAAGCUAGAGUAUGGGAGAGGAUGGUAGAAUUCCAGGUGUAGCGGUGAAAUGCGUAGAGAUCUGGAGGAAUACCGAUGGCGAAGGCAGCCAUCUGGCCUAAUACUGACGCUGAGGUACGAAAGCAUGGGGAGCAAACAGGAUUAGAUACCCCCGUAGUCCCUGUCUCUUAUAC